UUGAAGAGUGGGGAGACCACUAACCCUAGAUCUAACCCAUUCAUUUCAUUUCUUCUAAAAAAUUCUCUCAUUCACCUCACACUCUUUCACCUUCCUCUUCAAACCCUAGUGCCGCCGCCGCAUCUAACCACCACCACCACACCAUCAAAUCCUCCUACCAACAUGAAUCACCACUUUCCAACUUGAUUCCCUUUGUUUUACGCCGUUCUCUGUCAAUCCACGCAGAAAAAUGGAGGCAGAUCCUGAAACUCUCUCUCACUCUCAGUAGCUAACACCACUGUAGAACCGUAAAUCGCCGUCGUUUUUGUUUCAUGAAUCACGUCUCUGCUCUGCAUAUGCUUCAGAUCUAAAGGUUAGAUAUUUUGUUUUUAAUCUUUGUAAUUUUUUAUUUUUAUUUAGGGUUUAUGAGUGUCUCACCACAUGCUUUUGUUUUUGUUUGAUGAUUCACAUCCAUGCUCCGCGUAUGCUUCAAAUCUGAAGACCGGCUUAGGAAACUUCCAUAUCACUGAAUAUUUUUCCAGAUCCGAGAGACACAUGAAAACUGAUACUGCUAGUGUGAAUCCUUUGGCUCAAAUUCCAAUUCUAGUGCAAGGCCAAGGACCUGAACAUGCUAAGGUAGUGCUAAAACUAAAGAAAAGAAAACCUGCUAGACCUCCUUCAAUGGUUUGGAGACAUUUUAUGAAGAAAAAAGACACUGCCUUUUGUAACUAUUGCUUCACUUCUUUUGUUUCAAAUGCUUCCAACCAUCGAACUAACAACAUGCUUAAACACAUGAUGAUUUGUCCAAAAACAUGAAGGUUAACAAUAUUCUUACUUGCUAUGAUGGUAUCUCUUGAUCUAUUGUGAAUCAAGAUAUACCAAGGAGGUGUUAUUUUUUGUUAUUCAGAUCCAGUUUUAGUAUUAUUAUAUUCAAGACCACUAUAUUUAGUUUUUUAUUUAUUAAGGAUAUGUAAAUUGUUAAACUUAUUUUUAUUGGUUGUGUAAGUUAAAUUAAGGCUCGAUAUCAAAUGGGAAAAUGAGACAUCAUCAUCCCCCUUUAA